rnacentral:rRNA from 1 species
GACGAACGCUGGCGGCGCGCUUAACACAUGCAAGUCGAGCGAAGCGGCGGACGGGUGAGUAACCCGUGAGUAACCUGCCUUAGACAUUGGGAUAGCCUCGGGAAACCGGGAUUAAUACCAAAUGGUCUAAGAUGGACUCGCGUCCCAUUAGUGAGUUGGUGAGGUAACGGCCCACCAAGGCGACGAUGGGUAGCCGGCCUGAGAGGGUGAACGGCGACAUUGGAACUGAGAAACAGUCCAAACUCUGCGGGAGGCAGCAGUGGGGAAGAUUGCACAAGGGAGGGAACUCUGAGGCAGCUAGGCUGCGUGACCGAAGAAGGCGUUCGAGUCGUAAAGUUCUUUUAUAUGGGAAGCGGUACCAGAAGAAAAAGCCCCGGCUAACUCCGUGCCAGCAGCCGCGGUAAUAC